UCCCUGACGGCUCAUCAGGUAAAGAGCCCGCCUGCGAUGCGGGAGACCCAGGUUCGAGCCCUGGGUGGGGAA
rfam:Ovis aries breed Texel chromosome 10, whole genome shotgun sequence.